AACGAACGCUGGCGGCAGGCUUAACACAUGCAAGUCGAGCGCCCCGCAAGGGGAGCGGCAGACGGGUGAGUAACGCGUGGGAAUCUACCCAUCUCUACGGAAUAACGCAUGGAAACGUGUGCUAAUACCGUAUACGUCCUUCGGGAGAAAGAUUUAUCGGAGAUGGAUGAGCCCGCGUUGGAUUAGCUAGUUGGUGGGGUAAAGGCCUACCAAGGCGACGAUCCAUAGCUGGUCUGAGAGGAUGAUCAGCCACACUGGGACUGAGACACGGCCCAGACUCCUCCGGGAGGGAGCAGUGGGGAAUAUUGGACAAUGGGCGCAAGCCUGAUCCAGCCAUGCCGCGUGAGUGAUAAAGGCCCUAGGGUUGUAAAGCUCUUUCACCGGUGAAGAUAAUGACGGUAACCGGAGAAGAAGCCCCGGCUAACUUCGUGCCAGCAGCCGCCGUAACAC
rnacentral:rRNA from 1 species